rnacentral:lncRNA from 1 species
CUUUUCCCUGCAUAAAAGUCAAAAGAGUCGAAGGAACCGAUUCAAAUGAACCGAUUCGUUCUUAUGCUGCAGCUGUUGUGAAAUCGCGCUUUGUCUCGCGGGGGGAGGAAGUGGAGGCUCCACGUGGCCUGUUGUUUACAUCCAGCAUGUCCCUGUGGAGGAGUCCGGUUUCACUCCUCACGCGCUGUUCACUCUUCUUAGAAAGAGUGAGCUCUGCUUCAGGAACAGCUCAACACUCAGACAGUGCUGACUCACAGGGAUUCAGGAUCGCUACCUCAGAAGAAUGUUCCACACUGGGAGCCGGCUGGCCCACUUCUACUUCUCCUCAGGGUCUGGAGACUCCAGCAGCUCCAGAAACAGCACUGAUCCCGGAGGAUCUGGGGGUCCUGGUGGGUCUGUAGGUUCUGCUGGUUCUGGCAGUCUGGGCCUGGCUGGCAGUGGAACAGAGAAACGUCAAGAGAGAAUUCCCCAGAGUUUACCAGAGUUCAUCAAACAUCUCCAGAAGGUCGCAGGUCUGAGGAAAGAGGAUGUGUUCUAUAACCUGCGAGUCCCAAACCAGUUCCAGACAGCACGGGAGGAGAUCAACCUCGUCAUCCUCACAGGUGCGGGAGUGUACUGUAUUGAUGUAAAGACAUGGACAGGUGCUGUAUCACCUCAGGGCCAAAACACCUGGCACCUCCAAGUGAAAGAGGAGGAGCCAAACUUCACAAACACCUCCAUCCAGCAGGUCCCUGACCCCCUGCAGGCAAUUACGAGGAAGACGUGUGAUCUGUGCAGCUAUAUGAAGCAGUGUGGAGUGAAAAUCAGACAGUCCCUCUUCCUACCCAGAAUCCUCUUCCUCUCUCCUCACUGUACGCUGGAUGAUGAGCUGAGGAAGAGGAAUGAGCUGGUGCCCCACAGUCAUCUGCAGGCGUUCCUUUGUUCUCUCAGGGAGGGGUACAUGGCCUGGAUCACAGACGCUCUGACUCCAUCCUGGAUCUCAGGUCACCUGUCGUUCAGGCAGCUGGGGGCAGCGCGGGCGGUUCUGGGGCACAUGGGGACGUGGGACCUGGUGCAGUUGAGCAGUGGCACUCAGCUGAAGGGGGAUUAUCAGGGCUGCCAGCACCUCGCCCUCAACCGUCAGGACACGGACCUGCUGGAGUUCAGCCGGACCACAAUCCUGCCUACUGACACACUGUGGGCUCUGCUGGGACACACACCACAGGAUUCUGUGAAUGCAGAGCAGGAGCGUGUCUGAGCGACGCCCGACGGGACCUCCUGACCGGCGCUGAUCCAUCACGUGUCUGCUUAGAGGUGACGGCCGAGUUCAACUUCAUGUCUGUCCCUCUGUCAGCGCGGGGUGCAGGG